rnacentral:tRNA from 6 species
GGCCCCUUAGCUCAGCUGGAUAGAGCACCUGCCUUCUAAGCAGGUUGUCGUUGGUUCGAGUCCAACAGGGGUCGCCA